rnacentral:rRNA from 1 species
AUGGCUUCGUCACCGCCGUCGACGCGCACCGUGAUUGAGAACAUGUCGGUAGUGGAUGGCGGCGCACUCGACUGCAGCGCGUGCUACUCCCCACUGAAGCCGCCAGUCUUCCAGUGUGACGUGGGACACCUGCUGUGCUCAUCGUGCAGCGAGAAGAUGGCCGGAGCGCGGAGGUGCCAUGCGUGCCGGCGCGUCCUCGACGGCGCUGGAUACCGCCCGUGCUACAGCGUGGACCGUAUCUUGGGGUGCCUGCAGGUGUCAUGCCCCAACGCCGGCUACGGCUGCUCCGCCAGGCUGGCCCGCCACGACCAGCGCGCGCACCUCCUCCAGGCGUGCCGGCACGGGCCAUGCCACUGCCCGGCAGAGGCCUGCGCCUUCAUCCGCCCGGUGACGGCGCUCUGGGACCAUUUCUCCGCGGCGCACGGGUGGCCGUGCACCACCGCCGUUCUGACCGGGGGCGAGAACAGCGUCCACCUCCGCGACGGCUUCAGUGUCGUCAACCUUGUCUUCUCCUGCUGA